UACGUAGGGUGCGAGCGUUAAUCGGAAUUACUGGGCGUAAAGCGUGCGCAGGCGGUUUUGUAAGCCAGAUGUGAAAUCCCCGGGCUCAACCUGGGAAUGGCAUUUGGGACUGCAAGGCUGGAGUGCGGCAGAGGAGACUGGAAUUCCUGGUGUAGCAGUGAAAUGCGUAGAUAUCAGGAGGAACACCGAUGGCGAAGGCAAUCCCCUGGACCUGUACUGACGCUCAUGCACGAAAGCGUGGGGAGCAAACAGG
rnacentral:rRNA from 1 species